rnacentral:rRNA from 1 species
GACGAACGCUGGCGGCGUGCCUAAUACAUGCAAGUCGAACGCUUUUUCUUUCACCGGAGCUUGCUCCACCGAAAGAAAAAGAGUGGCGAACGGGUGAGUAACACGUGGGUAACCUGCCCAUCAGAAGGGGAUAACACUUGGAAACAGGUGCUAAUACCGUAUAACACUAUUUUCCGCAUGGAAGAAAGUUGAAAGGCGCUUUUGCGUCACUGAUGGAUGGACCCGCGGUGCAUUAGCUAGUUGGUGAGGUAACGGCUCACCAAGGCAACGAUGAAUAGCCGACCUGAGAGGGGGAUCGGCCACACUGGGACUGAGACACGGCCCAGACUCCUACGGGAGGCAGCAGUAGGGAAUCUUCGGCAAUGGACGAAAGUCUGACCGAGCAACGCCGCGUGAGUGAAGAAGGUUUUCGGAUCGUAAAACUCUGUUGUUAGAGAAGAACAAGGAUGAGAGUAAAAUGUUCAUCCCUUGACGGUAUCUAACCAGAAAGCCACGGCUAACUACGUGCCAGCAGCCGCUGUAA